GGGGAUGGAUAGGGAUUUUUGGAGGAGAGAAACCCCGAUUUGGAGGAGAAGGGUGGAAGCUAGGGCACGCUCAAUCCAUUCCAAUCAAGGGAGGAAAAGGAGAAAAACUCGAUUCCCAAGGGGCGAUUUGAGGUAUAAGGGGUGAUGGGAGAAGGAUCUAGGGGGUAGGCCUUGGAUUUGGAGAGGAAGAAGAAGAGGACCUAAGGUUUUGGAGGGAGGAAGAAGACGGUGAAAUGAGUCAGCUCAAAGGAGUGGAAUUUC
rnacentral:lncRNA from 1 species